AACGAACGCUGGCGGCAGGCUUAACACAUGCAAGUCGAACGCUCACCUUCGGGUGGGAGUGGCGGACGGGUGAGUAACGCGUGGGAACGUACCCUUUGGUUCGGAAUAACCCAGGGAAACUUGGGCUAACACCGGAUACGCCCUUCGGGGGAAAGGUUUACUGCCGAAGGAUCGGCCCGCGUCGGACUAGCUAGUUGGGGGGGUAAAAGCCUACCAAGGCGACGAUCCGUAGCUGGUCUGAGAGGAUGAUCAGCCACACUGGGACUGAGACACGGCCCAGACUCCUACGGGAGGCAGCAGUGGGGAAUAUUGGACAAUGGGCGCAAGCCUGAUCCAGCCAUGCCGCGUGAGUGAAGAAGGCCUUAGGGUUGUAAAGCUCUUUCAGCGGGGAAGAUAAUGACGGUACCCGCAGAAGAAGCCCCGGCUAACUUCGUGCCAGCAGCCGCGGUAAUACGAAGGGGGCUAGCGUUGUUCGGAAUUACUGGGCGUAAAGCGCGCGUAGGCGGGUGAUUAAGUCAGGGGUGAAAUGCCGAGGCUCAACCUCGGAACUGCCUUUGAUACUGGUCGCCUGGAGUUCGGGAAAGGUAAGUGGAAUUCCGAGUGUAGAGGUGAAAUUCGUAGAUAUUCGGAGGAACACCAGAAGCGAAGGCGGCUUACUGGCCC
rnacentral:rRNA from 1 species